rnacentral:rRNA from 1 species
AUUGAACGCUGGCGGCAUGCCUUACACAUGCAAGUCGAACGGUAACGGGCCUUCGGGUGCCGACGAGUGGCGAACGGGUGAGUAAUGUAUCGGAACGUACCUUUCAGUGGGGGAUAACGUAGCGAAAGUUACGCUAAUACCGCAUAUUCUGUGUGCAGGAAAGCAGGGGAUCGGAAGACCUUGCGCGGAUUGAGCGGCCGAUAUCAGAUUAGCUAGUUGGUGAGGUAAAGGCUAACCAAGGCGACGAUCUGUAGCGGGUCUGAGAGGAUGAUCCGCCACACUGGAACUGAGACACGGUCCAGACUCCUACGGGAGGCAGCAGUGGGGAAUUUUGGACAAUGGGGGCAACCCUGAUCCAGCCAUGCCGCGUGAGUGAAGAAGGCCUUCGGGUUGUAAAGCUCUUUCGGCCGGGAAGAAAUCGUAUCAGCUAAUACCUGGUGCGGAUGACGGUACCGGCAUAAGAAGCACCGGCUAACUACGUGCCAGCCGCCGCCGUAAUAC